rnacentral:lncRNA from 1 species
UUCCAAUCAACAGAAACAACCAUUACAACACCAUGAGAGCCCUCUUGUGCAUCAACCCCCUAAGGUAAUACUGUCACUUCACCCGUACACAUGGACAUUAUAUGCCUCUCUGAAGCCCAAUCAUCAUCUACCAUCUGUGAAGCUAACUUUGAGGGCACAUAUCCAACCAUAGAAUCUGAUUUCAUAUCAACGAGCUCUGCAUGAAACAUAGUCUGUUUGGUUGUCCAGCCAUCUUGUCAAUCGAUUUCAUCAACCAUCUCUUUGACAUCCUCAAUUCUCACAUACUCUCCUUUCUAAUUAUCAAACCGGAACAAUGCUACCUCUUUCUCUCGACCCCAAAAAAUGCUCUCCCCAAUUUUUUCCACAACAUUCUUCACAACCUUCUCUUCCAUGCUCUGUAGGUCUUGUGGAUCAAUCUCUGCAAAAUAAACCUCCCACUUCACAAUUGUAUCUCUCUCUAUGUCC